CACGGACCAAGGAGUUUAUCGUGUACGCAAGUCAUUGGGCGUUUAAAACCCAAAGGCGAAAUGAAAGCUCUCUUAAGGGAAGAUGGAAAUAUCGCAUAUAUUUAUAUGUGUGAAAAUAUUUCUCGCACUCCCAGGGCGCUUGUAUCUCGCUUAGCGAAUCAGUGCGCACCUAGAGCGUACACGAUGAUACCCGAAAGAUGGUGAACUAUGCCUGGCCAGGACGAAGCCAGGGGAAACCCUGGUGGAGGUCCGCAGCGAUUCUGACGUGCAAAUCGAUCGUCGGAGCUGGGUAUAGGGGCGAAAGACCAAUCGAACCAUCUAGUAGCUGGUUCCCUCUGAAGUUUCCCUCAGGAUAGCUUGCACUCGGUUGAGACGAGUCUCAUCCGGUAGAGCGAAUGAUUAGAGGCAUUGGGGUCGAAACGACCUCAACCUAUUCUCAAACUCCAAAUAGAUGAGAUCCCCGGCUUUCUUAAAAGUGAAGCCGUGGGGCUAUGAUCAGAGUGCCAAGUGGGCCAAUUUUGGUAAGCAGAACUGGCGCUGUGGGAUGAACCAAACGCAGAGUUAAGGCGCCUAAAUUGACGCUCAUGUGAAACCAUGAAAGGCGUUGGUUGCUUAAGACAGCAGGACGGUGGCCAUGGAAGUUGGAAUCCGCUAAGGAGUGUGUAACAACUCACCUGCCGAAGCAACUAGCCCUGAAAAUGGAUGGCGCUGUAGCGUCAUGCCUAUACUCUGCCGUCAAUGACAAAGGUGGUUAAUAAGUUGUAUAUUAAUUAUCAUGGUAGACUAUUUUCUGGCUGCUGUGUUAUUAAUAUUAUAGCUUAUUUCAUACUGCCAUUAUGUUUUGAUGAGUAAGAGGGUCGCGGCGAUGAGCGCAGAAGGGUUUGGGCGAGAGCCCGCCUGGAGCCGUCGCUGGUGCAGAUCUUGGUGGUAGUAGCAAAUACUCCAGCGAGGCCCUGGAGGACUGAUGUGGAGAAGGGUUUCUUGUGAACAGCUGUUGCACAAGAGUCAGUCGAUCCUAAGCCCUAGGAGAAAUCCGAAGCGAUAGGCUGCCAUUAAAUAAAGAAGUGUUCACAAGAAAAUGGAUCAGUCGUCCCUAUCUACUAUCUAGCGAAACCACGGCCAAGGGAACGGGCUUGGAAAAAUCAGCGGGGAAAGAAGACCCUGUUGAGCUUGACUCUAGUCUGGUACUGUAAGGAGACAUGAGAGGUGUAGCAUAAGUGGGAGGUGGUUUUUUUAACUGCCGACAAUGAAAUACCACUACUUUCAUAGUUUCCUUACUUACUCGGUUAGGCGGAGGGCGUCUGUCGGGGUGAUACCACCUCGGCAUGACGGUAUUCUCGCGCCAAACGCUAAGGGUUGUCGGUAGUCAAUCGUACGCCUUGCCGCGUGUGAGAUGUUGAAGUUCCAAUUUUGGAAUUGAUGCAUUUCAUUACGUUUGCGCACAGGUGGAUUCGGUUGUACU
rnacentral:rRNA from 1 species